rnacentral:rRNA from 1 species
AUCUUUAAAUGUUUGCCCUAUCAACUUUUGAUGGUAGUAUCUAGGACUACCAUGGUUGCAACGGGUAACGGGGAAUCAGGGUUCGAUUCCGGAGAGGGAGCCUGAGACGCGGCUACCACAUCUAAGGAAGGCAGCAGGCGCGUAAAUUACCCACUCCCAGCUCGGGGAGGUAGUGACGAAAAAUAACAAUACAGGACUCAUAUCCGAAGCCCUGUAAUUGGAAUAAGUACACUUUAAAUCCUUUAACAAGGACCAAUUGGAGGGCAAGUCUGGUGCCAGCAGCCGCGGUAAUUCCAGCUCCAAUAGCGUAUAUUAAAGUUGUUGCGGUUAAAACGUUCGUAGUUGAACUUGUGCUUCAUACGGGUAGUACAACUUACAAUUGUGGUUAGUACUAUACCUUUAUGUAUGUAAGCGUAUUACCGGUGGAGUUCUUAUAUGUGAUUAAAUACUUGUAUUUUUUCAUAUGUUCCUCCUAUUUAAAACCCUGCAUUAGUGCUCUUAAACGAGUGUUAUUGUGGGCCGGUACUAUUACUUUGAACAAAUUAGAGUGCUUAAAGCAGGCUUCAAAUGCCUGAAUAUUCUGUGCAUGGGAUAAUGAAAUAAGACCUCUGUUCUGCUUUCAUUGGUUUUAGAUCAAGAGGUAAUUAUUAAUAGAAGCAGUUUGAGGGCAUUAGUAUUACGACGCGAGAGGUGAAAUUCUUGGACCGUCUUAAGACUAACUUAAGACUUAUGUUUUCAUUAAUCAACGGACG